GAUCAGUGGCUCAGGACGAACGCUGGCGGCGUGCUUAACACAUGCAAGUCGAACGGUGACGGAGAGCUUGCUCUCCUGAUCAGUGGCGAACGGGUGAGUAACACGUGGGCAACCUGCCCCAGACUUCGGGAUAACGCUUCGAAAGAGGUGCUAAUACCGAAUACGAACCUCCCUGGCAUCUGGGAGGUUGGAAAGUUUUCGGUCUGGGAUGGGCCCGCGGCCUAUCAGCUUGUUGGUGAGGUAACGGCUCACCAAGGCGACGACGGGUAGCCGGCCUGAGAGGGCGACCGGCCACACUGGGACUGAGACACGGCCCAGACUCCUACGGGAGGCAGCAGUGGGGAAUAUUGCGCAAUGGGCGAAAGCCUGACGCAGCAACGCCGCGUGAGGGAUGACGGCCUUCGGGUUGUAAACCUCUUUCAGCAGGGAAGAAGCGAAAGUGACGGUACCUGCAGAAGAAGCACCGGCUAACUACGUG
rnacentral:rRNA from 1 species